ensembl:lncRNA
CACACGUACGUGUGUGACAGCCUGGCCUUGACUGUGAGCAUCACUGGGCUUUUGAAACCUUGGUUCAAUAGCGUGUUCAAAACCAAACCAAACCAAAGGCCUUCAGGCAGUGAGAAUACCUCCCUGAGAUUGGAAAACCUUCUGGAAAGCCGCUGAACUGAAAGGUGUUUCGGAAGAACGAUAGGUGGCCAGGACGCUGUCCACAGAGAAGGCUGAAUGGGCUUCUUCUCAAAGGCCCUUUGUUCGGCUGGAUGGAGUUUGCAGGUGCAACCUUAAGGAGGAGAGUGAGACACUAGAUGUUUCUGGCACCUCCCAUUGACAGAAGCCAAUUGACAAAGGGAUCUAGGCCAUGCGGUCUGCAGAGAUAAAGCCCCGAGGGCACAGAGCAGCCCCCCCAAAAAGGGAAGAGAAAGUAUAAAGCGACGGUGGAUUGAAAAGUGGAGGAGCAACCUGCCAUUCUUAGAGGAGUUCGAUCCUUGACCCACACAUGCCGUGGGUGAGGCCACAGGACAAAAAAAACAGUCCUUGAAUCCUCAGCAAUUUCUGAGAGGUAAUUUGGAAAGCCACAGUGAGGUUCUGGAGGAAGAGUCUUAGAGACGAUGAGAUUUUUCAAGGAGAGGCCACCGGGAGGAGGAACCUUCAUCCCCGUCACUGUGCCCGUUCUUAAUGGUAGAAAGCCGCCCAGCUGCCACUUGCCUGCUGUCGGAGUGCUCCUCUUCUCCCUCGUCCAGCUAAUGCUGAGGCCGAGACAGUGAGCCGCAGGGGCUUCAUCCAUCCACCAAGUUUUUGCAGGUCAGAAGUCUAGGAGCAGCCUGGCUGGGUGUUUCUGGCUCAGGAUCUCUUGUGAAAUUAUCAUCAAGACUUUGGCUGAGAUGCAGUCAUUUGAAGGCUUGCCUGGGGCUAGAGGAUCCCCUUUGAAGAUGGUGUACCCACAUGCUUGACAGGGUGCAUUUUUAUAUCAUUCAUCUCAGCAAAACUCAAAAGAUAAUUUUUAAAGAACAUUGAUACAGCCCGGAGCCUCCAGUAAAUGAUGCCCCAAUGAGUAAGUCGUUCCAAUUGGGCCUCUUGGAUUUACCAGGUUUAAUUCUUCUGCCUCUCUGGAAUCCCCAGUGGGUAAUUGCUGGUGACAGGUUUAUACCUCAAGACGGGCGUUUGGUCACUCAGCUCCAGUUCCUGCAAACAACUUUACAGUCUGUCAAGCCCAAACCACUUUUAGCUGUGGCGAUGGGUGUCAGAUAACGUUCGCCCUUGUGAUUCAAGGCUGACGCCUACUCCGGCGUGAAGUAAAGGGAAUCAUUACCAAGGAAGGGAAUGGGAAUCUCAAGGAAGAAGAGGUUACUGCUGAGCGAGGAGCAGGGCCUGGCAGACAUGGACCCACGUGAGGUCUGGCACACUGGGCCCUGCCAGCCCCGGGGUCAGUGAGUCAGCACGUGUGCCUGGGCGCCUACCUCGUGUCCCGUUCUCCGGUGGAGGGUGGGGGACUUUGCGUGCGAUGUCUGGAACCCUAAUUUUCUCUCUCCCGUAUGAAGACUCCAUCACCCCCAAGACUCCUGAGGUCAAUGGCUGGGCUCAUCCCCAUAUUUAAUUUAAUUUAUUUUUUGUCUUUUUUUUUUUUUUCAGGGCUACCCCACAGCAUAUGGAAGUUCCCAGGAGGCUAUGGGUUGAAACGGGGCUACAUCUGCCGGCCUACACCACAGCCACAGCCACAUGAGAUCCAAGCCUAGUCUGCGAUCUACACCCCAGCUCAUGGUAACAUCAGAUCCUUAAUCCAUGGAGCAAGGCCAGGGAUGGAACCCACAUCCUCAUAGAUACUAGUCAGGUUCAUUACCUCUGAGCCAUGACAGGAACUCCUCAUGCCCCUAUUUUAAAUGUUAACUAAUCUCCUUUUUUAUACCAAAGCCUAUGGUCUAACUCAAGUGUCCGUUAGAGGGAUGCUUAGCUUCCAUGCCUUAAUUCUUUCCCCCAGUUGGUGAUAUUCAGUUAAUCUACCCAGUUUAAACCUGACAAAGGGCUGACUUUUCACAGCAUCAAUGGGGGGGUCUCCACCCCAGCCCCGCCCCCCAAGGUGCCCAUUACUCUUCCACUACUGCCCUCCACCCACCUUCCUGGAUGGCAUGCCACGCUGACUGUCCACUCUCCCGUUAACUCAGCUCAAGGGCCCUCGGGGCCACACCUUCAUUCAUUCUUCCCUGGCCUGAGCCUGGCCCCGCUUCGCAAGGACAGAAGAAGCACAGAGAUGAGGGAAACAUGUUCAUUCAGAUCAUAGGCUUAUCACUGCAGCACCAUCGUCUCCUUAUUUUUCUUCUUCCCUCCUCCUCCUUUUUACUGAAGUAGAGUUGAUCUACUGUGUUGUGUUAGGCGUUCCCAUUGUGGCUCAGUGGUUAAUGAACUGAACUAGAUAGUAUCCGUGAGGACGUGGGUUUGAUCCCUGGCCUCGCUCAGUGGGUUAAGGAUCCAGCAUUGCUGUGAACUGUGGUUUAAGUUGCAGAUACAGCUUGGAUCCGUUGUUGCUGUGGCGGAGGUGUAUAGGCAGCUGCAGCUCUGGUUCGAUCCCUGGCCUCGCUCAGUGGGUUAAGGAUCCAGCAUUGCUGUGAACUAUGGUUUAAGUUGCAGAUACAGCUCGGAUCCCUUGUUGCUGUGGCGGAGGUGUAUAGGCAGCUGUAGCUCUGAUUUGACCCCUGGCCUGGGAACCUCCACAUGCCUCAGGUGCAG